CCUACGGGUGGCAGCAGUGAGGAAUAUUGGUCAAUGGGCGCGAGCCUGAACCAGCCAAGUAGCGUGAAGGAUGACUGCCCUACGGGUUGUAAACUUCUUUUAUAAAGGAAUAAAGUGAGGUACGUGUGCCUUUUUGUAUGUACUUUAUGAAUAAGGAUCGGCUAACACCGUGCCAGCAGCCGCGGUAAUACGGAGGAUCCGAGCGUUAUCCGGAUUUAUUGGGUUUAAAGGGAGCGUAGGUGGGUUGUUAAGUCAGUUGUGAAAGUUUGGGGCUCAACCGGACAAUUGCAAUUGAUACUGGCAACCGUGAGGACAGUUGAGGUAGGCGGAAUUCGUUGUGUAGCGGUGAAAUGCGUAGAUAUCACGAAGAACACCGAUUGCGAAGGCAGCUUACU
rnacentral:rRNA from 1 species